CUCAAAUCAGGUAGGACUACCCGCUGAACUUAAGCAUAUCAAUAAGCGGAGGAAAAGAAACCAACAGGGAUUACCUUAGUAACGGCGAGUGAAGCGGUAAGAGCUCAAAUUUGAAAUCUGGCACUUUUAGUGUCCGAGUUGUAAUUUGAAGAAGGUAACUUUGGGAUUGGCUCUUGUCUAUGUUCCUUGGAACAGGACGUCACAGAGGGUGAGAAUCCCGUGCGAUGAGAUGCCCAAUCCUAUGUAAAGUGCUUUCGAAGAGUCGAGUUGUUUGGGAAUGCAGCUCUAAGUGGGUGGUAAAUUCCAUCUAAAGCUAAAUAUUGGCGAGAGACCGAUAGCGAACAAGUACAGUGAUGGAAAGAUGAAAAGAACUUUGAAAAGAGAGUGAAAAAGUACGUGAAAUUGUUGAAAGGGAAGGGCUUGAGAUCAGACUUGGUGUUUUGUGUACAUUUUCCUUCUUGGAUUGUGCUUUCGCAUUACUACCGGGCCAGCAUCGGUUUGGGUGGUAGGAUAAUGACAUUGGAACGUGGCUCUACUUCGGUGGAGUGUUAUAGCCUUUGUUGAUGCUGCCUACCUAGACCGAGGACUGCGUCUUUUGACUAGGAUGCUGGCGUAAUGAUCUUAAGCCGCCCGUCUUGUAACACGGACCAAGGAGUCUAACGUCUAUGCGAGUGUUUGGGUGUAAAACCCGUACGCGUAAUGAAAGUGAACGAAGGUGAGGGCUCCUUUUGGAGUGCAUCAUCGACCGAUCCUGAUGUCUUCGGAUGGAUUUGAGUAUGAGCAUAGCUGUUGGGACCCGAAAGAUGGUGAACUAUGCCUGAGU
rnacentral:rRNA from 14 species